rnacentral:rRNA from 1 species
UGCAAGUCGCAGGGUAACAUGAGGAAAGCUUGCUUUCCUUGAUGACGACUGGCGCACGGGUGAGUAACGCGUAUCCAACCUUCCCAUAACUACGGGAUAACCCGUUGAAAGACGGCCUAAUACCGUAUGACAUCGUUUGCUGACAUCAAAUAACGAUUAAAGGUUUAGCGGUUAUGGAUGGGGAUGCGUCUGAUUAGCUUGUUGGCGGGGUAACGGCCCACCAAGGCGACGAUCAGUAGGGGUUCUGAGAGGAAGGUCCCCCACAUUGGAACUGAGACACGGUCCAAACUCCUACGGGAGGCAGCAGUGAGGAAUAUUGGUCAAUGGGCGAGAGCCUGAACCAGCCAAGUAGCGUGCAGGAUGACGGCCCUAUGGGUUGUAAACUGCUUUUAUGUGGGGAUAAAGUGCGUGACGUGUC